rnacentral:rRNA from 1 species
GGGGAAUAUUGGACAAUGGGCGCAAGCCUGAUCCACCCAUGCCGCGUGGGUGAAGAAGGCCUUCGGGUUGUAAAGCCUUUUUGUUGGGAAAGAAAAGCAGCCGGCCAAUACCCGGUUGUUCUGACGGUACUCAAAGAAUAAGCACCGGCGAACUUCGUCCCAGCAGCCGCGGUAAUACGAAGGGUGCAAGCGUUACUCGGAAUUACUGGGCGUAAAGCGUGCGUAGGUGGUGGUUUAAGUCCGUUGUGAAAGCCCUGGGCUCAACCUGGGAACUGCAGUGGAUACUGUGGUGCUAGAGUGCAGGAGAGGUAAGUGGAAUUCCUAGUGUAGCGGUGAAAUGCGUAGAUAUUAGGAGGAACACCAGUGGCGAAGGCGGCUUACUGGACUGUAACUGACGUUGAGGCUCGAAAGCGUAGGGAGCAAACA